UUUAAUACUUCGUUUUUUGUUUUCCUUCUUAAAUUACUAUAAUAUGCUACAUGAUUCACUUGAUUUAAUAAAUAAAUUGUAUAUUAUUAUUGAUUCCUUCUCAAGAUCAUACGCUGCAAAGUAGUAGCAAUCAGCCAAUGUGAAACACUGUCACCUCCUCUUCCGCUGUUGGGAACCACCAUUGACGGAACCCUAGACGUCGUUUAUAUUGUUGAUUCCUUACCAUCGCUCGACUGAGUGCCUUCAUCCGUUCUAAUCGGCAUCUCUCACUGCCACCGUCGAACUUGGAUCUGUACCACCAUCGAAGAAGGAUAGAGAUGAAGAUCGAGGUUGCCACCAUCUUCGGAUCUGGAAAGACGAAGCUUCGUCUUUUCAAACCCACAAACACUGUAAGUCAUCUGCAAGCGAUACCCAACGAAGAAAGCAAAGCAUUCUUCUUCUUCUUCUUCUUUUAUAUCGAAGUAUCAAUGAUUUGGAAGUGCUUGACAAUUUCGAUUUUGAUUUUCUAGGCUUUGACUUUUCUGGGUUUUGAAGUUCUUAAAAGCUUCGAUGAACGCACAAUCAAAGAUUGGAGGUUCUGAAAGCUUCGAUCUUUGAUUUUUUUUUUAUUCAUUGACUGGAUUUAGUUUAAAGUUAAAUCAACUUUGAGUCUAGUUUAUAGGUUCAAAGCGGGUUAACUAAGUUUAAAGAAAUCGAAGGUCGAUUUCUGAGUUGUUCACCCUCGAUUUGUAGGUGUCUAUAUUAAUCAUUUUAUGUGUGUAUAUGUUGAAGAAGAUGAACACAUAAAAGCAUUCGUUUUAUGUGGAGUUUUACAGAUUGAUUCAAAAGAUGGAAAACUUGAUUCCUUCAAGAACAAAAGGAUUUUCAGGAACUUGAUUUUUAGAAGUUAUUUUCCGAAUUUCUAGAAACAAAAAGAGGUUGAACGAGUGGUGUUGCUCGAGAGAGAGAGAGAGAAGGCGGGGAAGGGGGUUUAUUUUAUUUUUAUUUUAAAUUGAAAAUGUAUUAUAUAAAUUUAAAAAAUAAAAAUAAUAAUAAUAAAAAGAGUAAAUCGGUCUUUUAAAAUUGUUCAACCAAAAUUACAAUUAAAAAAAAAUGACUUUCAAUUUAAAACUUUCUGACUAUAACCACAAUUUU
rnacentral:lncRNA from 1 species